rnacentral:rRNA from 1 species
UACGAAGGGGACUAGCGUUGUUCGGAAUUACUGGGCGUAAAGCGCACGUAGUCGGCUUUGCAAGUCGGUUGUGAAAUCCCCGGGCUCAACCUGGGAACUGCAUCCGAGACUGCAUUGCUAGAGUAUAGUAGGGGUAAAGGGAAUUUCCAGUGGAGCGGUGAAAUGCGUAGAGAUUGGAAAGAACACCGAUGGCGAAGGCACUUUACUGGGCUAUUACUAACACUCAGAGACGAAAGCUAGGGUAGCAAAUGGG